GGAGAGAUGGCUGAGCUGGUCUAAGGCGCACGACUGGAAAUCGUGUGUACCCUCAAAACGGGUACCGAGGGUUCGAAUCCCUCUCUCUCCGCCA
rnacentral:tRNA from 5 species